GACGAACGCUGGCGGCGUGCCUAAUACAUGCAAGUUGAGCGCUGAAGGUUGGUACUUGUACCAACUGGAUGAGCAGCGAACGGGUGAGUAACGCGUGGGGAAUCUGCCUUUGAGCGGGGGACAACAUUUGGAAACGAAUGCUAAUACCGCAUAAAAACUUUAAACACAAGUUUUAAGUUUGAAAGAUGCAAUUGCAUCACUCAAAGAUGAUCCCGCGUUGUAUUAGCUAGUUGGUGAGGUAAAGGCUCACCAAGGCGAUGAUACAUAGCCGACCUGAGAGGGUGAUCGGCCACAUUGGGACUGAGACACGGCCCAAACUCCUACGGGAGGCAGCAGUAGGGAAUCUUCGGCAAUGGACGAAAGUCUGACCGAGCAACGCCGCGUGAGUGAAGAAGGUUUUCGGAUCGUAAAACUCUGUUGGUAGAGAAGAACGAUGGUGAGAGUGGAAAGCUCAUCAAGUGACGGUAACUACCCAGAAAGGGACGGCUAACUACGUG
rnacentral:rRNA from 1 species